AUAGCCAAUUUACUACAAUUAAAACGCUGGAAAUCAUUGGUGGCACUAUACAAAAACAAAUUGGUUUAUAAUCUCACAACCUUCACCUUUCUGACAUUCUGAGACCCAAACAAAUUCAGUGCCUUCUGUGCUUUGAUUUAUUACUGGGUAUUGAUUACACAUAGUUACUCCCCUUUGAUAAAUGAUCGUCAUUAACCCUGCCAAAAAACCAUCGUGUUACAAUUUGUUUCAAUAGAAUAUCUCAGAUCAACACAUUUGAGAAAAUUAAAAUUCCUUGGAAGGAGAAUUAACCACCAGUAGACAGAAUCCAACAGCUCCCUGAAUUGGUACAAAGGCACUGUGCUUUUUGUUUCUUCUGGAAAAUACGGAAAUCCUGACUCAUUAUAUGAUGUGCUAUAUGAAGGCGAAGACGCGUCAUAUGAAGUAAUGGAGAUUCAUUGUCACUAAAAUAGAUGUCACUUUAAAAGUUUUCAUUCAUCAUAUCACAUAUUCAUCAUUGGAAGGAACUUUAUUUUGACAUACAAGUUUCAUGUGCUGCAAAUUGAUUCAGGAAAUACAGGCAGACAAGCUGGAAAGUAAAGACACAAUUAGUGGGAAACUAUAAUGAGUACAUGUUGAAAGAAAUAAGAUGCUCAGCUGAUGUAAAUUACAAAAAUGACACAGAAAUGUGAACACAUAUAAUCAACGAAAUUCUCUGAACACACAUAUGCAAACACACACUGGUGAGAAGAAUAACAAUUUAUUAUGUGUGAUAAAGCAGUUUCUCUACAAAAUAAUUUGAACAUGAAUAUGGAAAUACACACUGGCAAAAAGAAUCUUAAAUGUAACAUGUGUGAUAAAGGAUUUUCUCAACAGAGUAAUUUGAACAAGCAUAUGACAAUAGACACUGGUGAGAAGAAUCAUAAAUGUGAAGUGUGUGAUAAAGCAUUUUCUCAACGAAGUGAUUUGAACCAGCAUAUGACAAUACACACUGGUGAGAAGAAUCAUAAAUGUAAAGUGUGUGAUAAAGCAUUUUCUCAAUGAAGUCAUUUGAACCAG